UACGAAGGUCCCGAGCGUUGUUCGGAAUCACUGGGCGUAAAGGGAGCGUAGGCGGCAUGGUAAGUCAGAUGUGAAAUCCCGGGGCUCAACCCCGGAACUGCAUCCGAUACUGCCUUGCUUGAGGGUUGGAGAGGUGACUGGAAUUAUCGGUGUAGCAGUGAAAUGCGUGGAUAUCGAUAGGAACACUCGUGGCGAAGGCGAGUCACUGGACAACAUCUGACGCUGAGGCUCGAAGGCUAGGGGAGCAAAAGGG
rnacentral:rRNA from 2 species